GAUGAACGCUGGCGGCGUGCUUAACACAUGCAAGUCGAACGGUAAGGCCCUUCGGGGUACACGAGUGGCGAACGGGUGAGUAACACGUGGGUGAUCUGCCCUGCACUUCGGGAUAAGCCUGGGAAACUGGGUCUAAUACCGGAUAGGACCACUGCCUGCAUGGGUGGUGGUGGAAAGCUUUUGCGGUGUGGGAUGGGCCCGCGGCCUAUCAGCUUGUUGGUGGGGUGCUGGCCUACCAAGGCGCCGACGGGUAGCCGGCCUGAGAGGGUGACCGGCCACACUGGGACUGAGAUACGGCCCAGACUCCUACGGGAGGCAGCAGUGGGGAAUAUUGCACGAUGGGCGCAAGCCUGAUGCAGCGACGCCGCGUGAGGGAUGACGGCCUUCGGGUUGUAUACCUCUUUCAGCACCGACGAAGCGCAAGUGACGGUAGGUGCAGAAGAAGGACCGGCCAACUACGUGCCAGCCGCCGCAGUAA
rnacentral:rRNA from 1 species